GAUAUGUGAAUUCAAAAGCUGAGAUUGCAUGAGCUGCCAUGUUGUUGGGAGGUACAAGGACAGUGCUGCUGCUGCUGCUGCAGCUGCUGCAGCUGCUGUAGCUGCUGUAGCUGUAGCUGUAGCUGUAGCUGUAGCUGUAGCUGUAGCUGCUGUAGCUGUAGCUGUAGCUGUAGUUGCUUACUGGAUGUCUGAAGGAAAUCAGUUUAUUAAUCACAUUUUAAU